rnacentral:rRNA from 1 species
AACGAACGCUGGCGGCAUGCCUAACACAUGCAAGUCGAACGAGACCUUCGGGUCUAGUGGCGCACGGGUGCGUAACGCGUGGGAACCUGCCCUUAGGUUCGGAAUAACUCCCCGAAAGGGGUGCUAAUACCGGAUAAUGUCUUCGGACCAAAGAUUUAUCGCCUUUGGAUGGGCCCGCGUUGGAUUAGCUAGUUGGUAGGGUAAAAGCCUACCAAGGCGACGAUCCAUAGCUGGUCUGAGAGGAUGAUCAGCCACACUGGGACUGAGACACGGCCCAGACUCCUACGGAAGGCAGCAGGGGGGAACAUUGGACAAUGGGCGAAAGCCUGAUCCAGCAGUGCCGCGUGAGUGAUGAAGGCGUUAGGGUUGUAAAGCUCUUUUACCCGGGAUGAUAAUGACAGUACCGGGAGAAUAAGCGCCGGCUAACUCCGUG